rnacentral:rRNA from 1 species
CAGCAGCCACGGUAAUACGAAGGGGGCUAGCGUUGUUCGGAAUUACUGGGCGUAAAGGGCGCGUAGGCGGCCAUUCAAGUUAGAUGUGAAAGCCCUGGGCUCAACCUAGGAAUUGCAUUUGAUACUGUUUGGCUUGAGUUCGGGAGAGGUGAGUGGAAUUCCCAGUGUAGAGGUGAAAUUCGUAGAUAUUGGGAAGGACACCAGUGGCGAAGGCGGCUCACUGACCGACACUGACGCUGAGGCGCGAAAGCGUGGGGAGCAAACAGGAUUAGAUACCCCCGUAGUCCCUGUCUCUUAUACC